UACGGAGGAUGCAAGCGUUAUCCGGAAUUAUUGGGCGUAAAGCGUCCGCAGGUGGCACUUCAAGUCUGCUGUCAAAGACCGGGGCUUAACCCUGGAAAGGCAGUGGAAACUGAAGCGCUAGAGUGUGGCAGGGGUAGAGGGAAUUCCCGGUGUAGCGGUGAAAUGCGUAGAGAUCGGGAAGAACACCCAGGGGGAAACCAGCGGACUGGGCAUCAGCUGACGCUCAGGUGCGACAGCGUGGGGAGCGAACCGG
rnacentral:rRNA from 1 species